rnacentral:lncRNA from 1 species
GAGCAUCAGAAUGUUAAUGCCUCGUGUCUUCUGUGAAGGAUAGUAGAAUUCACCACUGCUUUGACCUUUCCGAUGUGAUGCAUUUCGAUUGGGUCUGGAAGUUGAUGAUUAAUGAUAAUUGCAAUAAUUACACCACGGGACUCUGUCAAAGGAAGCCACUUGAAACAUUUAAUAGAAUCUUGAACAAUCUCUGGCCCAAUGUUCCCGUUUCUCCUCCUGCACCUUCAUCACAUGUUCCUGGCAAACUGCAGACACCAUCUUAAGCAGGAGACAGCGAUCCUUGUUGGUGACUCCCCUGGACCUAGAUCACUCAAUG